rnacentral:rRNA from 1 species
UAGCAUAAUAAUUUGUUUUUUAAUUGAAAAAGGGUAUGAAAGGUUUGUCAUUAAAAAGCUGUCAAAUUUUUAGUCUGAGAAAUUUAAUUUUAAGUCAAAAUGCUUAAAUAAAAAAAGGGACGAUAAGACCCUAAAAUCUUAAUUUAAAUUUAAUUAUAAAAUUACUUUUAUUUUUAGCUGGGGAAGCCAUCACAUAUAUUUUGUGAGUCAUUAGACAGAAAGUAUAAGUGAAUUUAUUUAUAUGAUUUAUUAGUGUUAGAUACUUUAGGGAUAACAGCACAAUAAUAUUAGUAAGUCCUUAUUUAUAGUAUUGCUUGUGACCUCGAUGUUGAAUUAAUUUUUUUUUUCAAGGAAGAAUGUGAGAGAAAGGGUUUGUUCAACCUUUAAAUUUUUACAUGAUUU